UUGUUAGAAGCCAAAAUAGAGGCAUAUCACUGUUAAUGAUACCAUUGAAAUUUUUUCCUAUCAAG
rnacentral:tRNA from 1 species